rnacentral:misc_RNA from 1 species
UUUUCAUUGAAAUCUCAUAUUUAAAUGGAUUUUUCUUUUGGUUUUGACAGAUAUUACUACUUAAGCUGACUGCCAAAUUUUGGUGCUCUGCUCUUUUCAUACUUUAAAUGCCUAUGAAUACUUGCUGGCUAUGAUGCUCCUAACAUAAAAAAGAAAAAUACUAAUGUUAGACAUGGAUACAUUUCUGACCCUGUAUUUAAAAUGUGAGCAACAUAGCUGCCAACCAAAAACUAGAGCAAGUUUUAGUGAAAAUUGAAUAAUUUCCUGAAACCUUUUCCUAUUUAUUGUCUAUUCACUGGAUGUGCCAAAAAGAUCAACUUAAAGUUGAGCAAUGGAAGUAAAUUAAUUUUUAGCUUCACCCAGUUUAUAUUUGCCCUUUUUAGGAUUUUGGAUCUCCUUUUCAUUAUCUAUUCAAAUUUUGAUGCUCCUUUAUUUCCUGUUUUCUCUAAAUUAAAGCCGUAUCCUAACCUUGGAUAUGAUUUUGAUGUCCCAAUCUGGAUGUGUUCAUUUCUGGUCUUAUUAGAUUCUAUUUGCAACCCAAAUAAGGUGUCUGCUAUCUAGUCACCAACUGUUGAAUGUAUUAAUAGCUGCCUUACAAUCUUCUCAAUCUGAUGGAUUGAAUUUUGAUAAAUUUUCUUUCUCAUGAAGUUUUCCACCAGUCAGACUGUGCAUCAUAUUCUUUCAUAUGGUAAUUAGGAAUCUAGGAGAUGCCCUUCUUCACUUCCUUUUAUUGGUAAAUAUCCUGUUUUACUGAUUUAUAUAAUUUGAAUUGUUAAAAUACCUUUUUCCUCUGAAAUCCUUGUUUACAGAGAUUUGAUUAGUAGUCUGGAACUAAUUAAUAAAAAAUGGUUUUCUUUUUUUAAUUGAAUUAUUGCAUAGCGACCUAAUAGAAUUGCAUGGUUUAUUGCUGAUAUUCAUGUGUAGCAAAAGAUGAAGUCCCAUUGAAAACCCUUUUUUCUUUUAUAAGCUGUGUUCAUUUAAUAGUUACUUGGAGGCCAACCAAGUGUUUUAAACGUAAUCUUACAAAGAGUGUGCUCGCAAUUGGAUAGUUAAAACUGAAUAACAUUAAUGAAGGCACAAUUAGAGCCAGCAACUUUUGGUACAAGGUAUAAUUAGUAAUCUUAAUGUGCUGUGAAUGAAUGAAAUGAUUUUCAUCAAUUGUUAACAGAUCCUAAGCUAGCAUUAUCACACAAUGUUACUUUUUUGUUUGGAGCUAACAGCGUUACUGCAUAUUGAUGUGGUUUGCAGCGCAACUAUCGAUUCUUCUUCAUG